rnacentral:rRNA from 1 species
AUUGAACGCUGGCGGCAUGCUUUACACAUGCAAGUCGAACGGUAACAGGCCGCAAGGUGCUGACGAGUGGCGAACGGGUGAGUAAUGCAUCGGAACGUGCCCAGUCGUGGGGGAUAACUACUCGAAAGAAUAGCUAAUACCGCAUACGAUCUAUGGAUGAAAGCGGGGGACCGUAAGGCCUCGCGCGAUUGGAGCGGCCGAUGUCAGAUUAGGUAGUUGGUGGGGUAAAGGCUCACCAAGCCAACGAUCUGUAGCUGGUCUGAGAGGACGACCAGCCACACUGGGACUGAGACACGGCCCAGACUCCUACGGGAGGCAGCAGUGGGGAAUUUUGGACAAUGGGCGCAAGCCUGAUCCAGCAAUGCCGCGUGCAGGAAGAAGGCCUUCGGGUUGUAAACUGCUUUUGUACGGAACGAAACGGCUCUGGUUAAUACCCGGGGCUAAUGACGGUACCGGAAGAAUAAGCACCGGCUAACUACGUG